rnacentral:tRNA from 1 species
UAGGCAGAAGCUCGCUGUUUAGAGCGUCUAGCUGUUAACUAGAAUUUUGUGGGAUCGAGGCCCACCUGUCUAG